AUGGCCAUGAGCUCAUCUCCUCUUCGGGCGUUCCUGGCGGCCAUGCUUCUCAGCUUCCUCCUCGGAGCUGCGACGACGUUCAGCCGCCCCCCGCCGCCGAUGCUCUCCGCUUUUCAGAACUUGGCGGAGGACAAGUCGCGGCUGGGGUCGACGCCGCCGAGCUGCCACAACCGGUGCAACGCGUGCAACCCCUGCAAGCCGGUGCAGGUGACCACGACGCUCCCGAUGGGGUCUGGCGGCCCAUCCACGGCGUCCCGCGGCUCCUCUGCCGCCGUCGACGAGGCCGCGGCCAACGUGCAGUACUCCAACUACAAGCCGCUGGGGUGGAAGUGCCGCUGCGCCGGCCGCCUCUACAACCCCUAG
rnacentral:rRNA from 1 species